rnacentral:lncRNA from 1 species
GAUCCUUCCAGUUCAGCCCCAAGUACCCAAACGAAACCUCGAGAAACUCCUCAACCGUAUGCGACUCCUCCGUCGCCACAACGUAAUCAUCCGCCGCCUCCUGCUGCAGCAUCAUCCACAUCGCCUCCACGUAGUCCCCCGCGAACCCCCAGUCCCUCGAAGCUUGUAGGUUCCCGAGGAAGAGCUUCCUCUGCAAACCCACCUUGAUCCUCCCCAAGGCUCUCGUGAUCUUCCUCGUCACGAAGUUCUCUCCGCGGCGAGGCGACUCGUGGUUGAACAAGAUCCCGUUGCACGCGAAGAGACCGUACGCCUCACGGUAGUUAACAGUGUACCAAUGCGCAGCGACUUUGGACGCUGCGUAAGGGGACCUGGGGUGAAACGGCGUCGUUUCGGACUGAGGAGGCGGAGUCGCUCCGAACAUCUCGGAGGAUCCCGCCUGGUAGUACUUGACGGUGCGGCCGGUGUCGGCGGUGUGAGAUCUGACGGCCUCGAGGAGGCGGAGGGCGCCGGUGGCGACGACGUCGGCGGUGUAAUCGGGGAUCUCGAAGGAGACGGCGACGUGGGACUGCGCGGCGAGGUUGUAGACCUCGUCGGGCUUGAUCACGUCGAGCCAGCGGCGGAGCGAGGAGGCGUCGGUGAGAUCGGCGUAGUGGAGCUUCAUCAGAGCCUUGUCAGCGUUGUGCGGGUCGAUGUAGAUGUGGUUGAUCCGCUGGGUGUUGAAGUUGGUAAGGUUGCUGCUGAGCAUCCAUGUAACCAGCAUCAACAAGCACUUUCUCCCUCUUAGCAAGCUCAAGGUCUUCAUCAACCAUCAUCUUCACAAGCUUCUCAAACCCCACUUUGGGUUUCCACCCCAACACUUGCUUGGCCUUGCUAGCAUCUCCUUUCAAGUUAUCCACUUCAGACGGCCUAAAGUACCUCUUAUCAAUCUCCACGUGAUCCUUCCAGUUCAGCCCCAAGUACCCAAACGAAACCUCGAGAAACUCCUCAACCGUAUGCGACUCCUCCGUCGCCACAACGUAAUCAUCCGCCGCCUCCUGCUGCAGCAUCAUCCACAUCGCCUCCACGUAGUCCCCCGCGAACCCCCAGUCCCUCGAAGCUUGUAGGUUCCCGAGGAAGAGCUUCCUCUGCAAACCCACCUUGAUCCUCCCCAAGGCUCUCGUGAUCUUCCUCGUCACGAAGUUCUCUCCGCGGCGAGGCGACUCGUGGUUGAACAAGAUCCCGUUGCACGCGAAGAGACCGUACGCCUCACGGU